rnacentral:rRNA from 1 species
GACGAACGCUGGCGGCGUGCCUAAUACAUGCAAGUCGAACGAGAGCAACCGGUGCUUGCACUGGUCAAUCUAGUGGCGAACGGGUGAGUAACACGUGGGUAACCUGCCCAUCAGAGGGGGAUAACAUCCGGAAACGGAUGCUAAAACCGCAUAGGUCUUCGAACCGCAUGGUUUGAAGAGGAAAAGAGGCGCAAGCUUCUGCUGAUGGAUGGACCCGCGGUGCAUUAGCUAGUUGGUGAGGUAACGGCUCACCAAGGCCGCGAUGCAUAGCCGACCUGAGAGGGUGAUCGGCCACAUUGGGACUGAGACACGGCCCAAACUCCUACGGGAGGCAGCAGUAGGGAAUCUUCCGCAAUGGACGCAAGUCUGACGGAGCAACGCCGCGUGAGUGAAGAAGGUUUUCGGAUCGUAAAACUCUGUUGUUAGAGAAGAACAAGUGCUAGAGUAACUGUUAGCGCCUUGACGGUAUCUAACCAGAAAGCCACGGCUAACUACGUG